rnacentral:rRNA from 1 species
CAAGCGGUGGAGCAUGUGGUUUAAUUCGAAGCAACGCGAAGAACCUUACCAAGUCUUGACAUCCAGGUGGUGCAUGGUUGUCGUCAGCUCGUGUCGUGAGAUGUUGGGUUAAGUCCCGCAACGAGCGCAACCCUUAUUCUUAGUAGCCACUCUAGGGAGACUGCCAGGGAUAACCUGGAGGAAGGUGGGGAUGACGUCAAAUCAUCAUGCCCCUUAUGACUUGGGCUACACACGUGCUACAAUGGGUAAACAAAGUGAAGCGAGAGUGUGAGCUUAAGCAAAUCACAAAAAUAACGUCUCAGUUCGGAUUGUAGUCUGCAACUCGACUACAUGAAGCUGGAAUCGCUAGUAAUCGCAGAUCAGAUGCUGCGGUGAAUACGUUCCCGGGUCUUGUACACACCGCCCGUCACACCAUGGGAGUCGGAAAUGCCCGAAGUCGGCGCCGAAGGCAGGUCUGAUAACUGGGGUGAAGUCGUAACAAGGUAACCGA